AGAGUUUGAUCAUGGCUCAGAAUCAACGCUGGCGGCGCGCCUAACACAUGCAAGUCGAACGAGAAAGUGGAGCAAUCCAUGAGUACAGUGGCGUACGGGUGAGUAACACGUGGGUAAUCUACCUUUUAGUGAGGAAUAACCAAGGGAAACUUUGGCUAAUACCGCAUAAGCCUGAGAAGGGAAAGUCGAAAGACGCUGAAAGAGGAGCCCGCGGCCGAUUAGCUAGUUGGUGGGGUAAGAGCCCACCAAGGCAGAGAUCGGUAGCCGGCCUGAGAGGGCACACGGCCACACUGGCACUGAAACACGGGCCAGACUCCUACGGGAGGCAGCAGUGGGGAAUCUUGCACAAUGGGGGAAACCCUGAUGCAGCGACGCCGCGUGAGCGAUGAAGCCCUUCGGGGUGGAAAGCUCUUUCGUCAGGGAAGAUAGUGACGGUACCUGGAGAAGCAGCUGCGGCUAACUACGUGCCAGCAGCCGCGGUAAUACGUACGCAGCAAGCGUUGUUCGGAGUUACUGGUCGUAAAGGGUGUGUAGGCGGUUCUUUAUUUUCGCUGUGAAAUCUCCCGGGUUAACGCGGGAGGGUGCGGUGAACACUGAGGGACUACAAACUUAAGAGGAAAAUGUUCUUGCCGGGAAUUUUGGCGAAUUA
rnacentral:rRNA from 1 species